rnacentral:rRNA from 1 species
GUGUCAGCAGCCGCGGUAAUACGUAGGUGGCAAGCGUUAUCCGGAAUUAUUGGGUGUAAAGCGCGCGUAGGCGGUUUUUUAAGUCUGAUGUGAAAGCCCACGGCUCAGCCGUGGAGGGUCAUUGGAAACUGGAAAACUUGAGUGCAGAAGAGGAAAGUGGAAUUCCAUGUGUAGCGGUGAAAUGCGCAGAGAUAUGGAGGAACACCAGUGGCGAAGGCGACUUUCUGGUCUGUAACUGACGCUGAUGUGCGAAAGCGUGGGGAUCAAACAGGAUUAGAUACCCCUGUAGUCC